rnacentral:tRNA from 1 species
GCAGGGGUAGCCAAGUCUGGCCAAAGGCGCAGGCUUCAGGAGCCUGUCCCGUAGGGGUUCGUGGGUUCAAAUCCCACCCCCUGCACCA